AAAAAGACAAACCUUGAAUUUUCGUGUACAACUUUUAUUGUUCGUCUUAUAUGAAAUUUUUUUAUAAUUCGUAUUUUUAUUAUUGUUAGAUGAUAAAACAUGAUUAAUACUUUGUGCGUAACUUGUCUUUUUAUUUUUUUUUAUAAUUUUUUCAAAUAAAACAGACGGUCAAACGUUUGACAC
rnacentral:pre_miRNA from 1 species